rnacentral:lncRNA from 1 species
UAGGUUUUGAUUAUUUAUAUAGGAGCACGGGUUCAAAUCUCUCCAUGUGCAAAUAUGAAAAUGGUUCCAAUUUCCUUUGAACUAGUCCAGUUCGAGGGUUAUACGUCAGUCUUAGAUAUUUUUAAAGGUUGAACUCCUAUCUUGAGAGCCCCCACCGUCCCGUCCUUAGAACUUUAUGAGGGAGGUAAAUCGUGAGAUGUGC